rnacentral:rRNA from 1 species
GGGAGCUGUAAGUAAGCUUUGAUCCGAAGAUUUCCGAAUGGGGAAACCCACCAUACGUAAUGGUAUGGUAUCCUUAUCUGAAUACAUAGGGUAAGGAAGACAGACCCAGGGAACUGAAACAUCUAAGUACCUGGAGGAAGAGAAAGCAAAUGCGAUUUCCUGAGUAGCGGCGAGCGAAACGGAACAUAGCCCAAACCAAGAGGCUUGCCUCUUGGGGUUGUAGGACAUUCUAUACGGAGUUACAAAGGAACGAGGUAGACGAAGCGACCUGGAAAGGUCCGUCGUAGAGGGUAACAACCCCGUAGUCGAAACUUCGUUCUCUCUUGAAUGUAUCCUGAGUACGGCGGAACACGUGAAAUUCCGUCGGAAUCUGGGAGGACCAUCUCCCAAGGCUAAAUACUCCCUAGUGAUCGAUAGUGAACCAGUACCGU